rnacentral:rRNA from 1 species
AGCUACAGGCUUAACACAUGCAAGUCGAGGGGAAACGACAUCGAAAGCUUGCUUUUGAUGGGCGUCGACCGGCGCACGGGUGAGUAACGCGUAUCCAACCUGCCCACCACUUGGGGAUAACCUUGCGAAAGUAAGACUAAUACCCAAUGACGUCUCUAGAAGACAUCUGAAGGAGAUUAAAGAUUUAUCGGUGAUGGAUGGGGAUGCGUCUGAUUAGCUUGUUGGCGGGGUAACGGCCCACCAAGGCGACGAUCAGUAGGGGUUCUGAGAGGAAGGCCCCCCACAUUGGAACUGAGACACGGUCCAAACUCCUACGGGAGGCAGCAGUGAGGAAUAUCGGUCAAUGGGCGAGAGCCUGAACCAGCCAAGUAGCGUGCAGGAUGACGGCCCUAUGGGUUGUAAACUGCUUUUAUAAGGGAAUAAAGUGAGUCUCGUGAGACUUUUUGCAUGUACCUUAUGAAUAAGGACCGGCUAAUUCCGUGCCAGCAGCCGCGGUAAUACGGAAGGUCCGGGCG